AAUCCAAAAGAUCGAAUGGGGAGAUUCAUCAAGAGCGUGUCGGUCGCUGUCGGGCGCGAUGGCGUUGCGUUUCGGCUUUGCGUUCACGCGUUUGCUUGUCGUGUCCGAUUUUCGUUUUUGUGCACUUCUCCCCUAGUAGAACGUCGCGACCCGUUGGGUGUCGGCCUACGGUACGGCAAGGUAGCCUGUAGAGUCGUGUUCACGCACGUACACUACAGACCGUCGUUAUACCCGGCCGGCUGCCCGGCGGUAUAAGUCAUCGAACCUAUUGACAAUGGUAACGGGCCGCACGAUAACGAUCGUUCACUUCGAUCCUCUUUUCAGUGCGUUCAGGCUCGUCGGCAGGUCUCCCGUGCACGGAUUUACGAACCUAGUGUCGUAUUCGGAUCGGUGGGACCGUUAGUCGAUGAUGUCCUCGGACGGGCUCUUGCGUCUUGCAUUUUUAUGCGAGCCGAUUUACCGGUCGGCGACGCUACUGCUUUGGGUACUUUCAGG
rnacentral:rRNA from 1 species